GUGCGUGUGGUGUAAUUGGUAACACCUUUGCAAGCAGCACGGGGUUUUUAAAUCAUCUGACGUUAUACACUGCGAGUGAGUCUGAUGGCCCAUCCUCUUGCAAGUGAUCCCAGUUCGAUUCUGGGCGCGGGCA